UGUCCAGCCGCGCCCGGAGGCGCGGGUGUGCGGAGGCCGCGCGCAGCCCCCAGAGCAAGUGUUUAACGGAAAUCAGAGGUGGAAAAAGACGUUGGAGGAUCCCAUUUCGUUCCACCGCGUUUACCGACGCGCCCGCGGGUAGCCGCGCUUCGGGCUGGGGGCUUUGGGGCCACGCACGUGAGUCAGGGUCUUCUGGCCGCUAAGUCACGCGCAGAAGUUACCCAAAAUAGAAGGAAUUUCGACGCGUAUCCUAAGAAUAGCAUGGAGGGUUUUGAGGCGCACAGGAGCUAGGGAACAUCAGGCCUUUGGCUGAGCUGCAGUCUUCAGCGUGCUUUGCUGGCCUGGUGCAGAUCGUCAAAGGGUACUUCCAGCUCUUUGGAGUCUUUCUCUUUAGGACACCAAGGAAAAGUGAAAAAAGAUCCACAUUUGGGGAGGUUGCUUGGUGGAUACAUGUAUUGCCUCAGCGAUGGAUGCACCGAAGGUCCUGACUUCACCCCAAUGCAGUAUGUCAGUGUAGCAAAAUUGCACUUGUACCCCAUGAAUAUGUACAAUAAAUAAAUAAUAAAUGUUUUUUUUUUCUUCA